rnacentral:rRNA from 1 species
UACAGGAGGUCUCAAGCGUUGUUCGGAUUCAUUGGGCGUAAAGGGUGCGUAGGCGGCGAGGUAAGUCGGAUGUGAAAUCCCGGGGCUCAACCCUGGAACUGCAUUCGAUACUGCCUUGCUCGAGGACUCGAGAGGAGAUUGGAAUUCACGGUGUAGCAGUGAAAUGCGUAGAUAUCGUGAGGAAGACCAGUGGCGAAGGCGGAUCUCUGGAGAGUUCCUGACGCUGAGGCACGAAGGCCAGGGGAGCAAACGGG